GUUCCUUGAAUUACUCAAUUUCACUCUGAGGCCCCACAAUGCGUUCAAAUAUUGUAGAAGCCGUCAACUGACAAACCCUGGAAUACCCAACAAUGAGGGAGAGGCAUUUAAAUUGCUAUUAUCCCUGCAGUAGGGUAUAUGUUAGCACUUUAAACGCCAUAUGUUCUAGGAAUUCUCACCAAGAUGAGAAAACGUUCACAAUGUAUCAUUAAGAAAGAAGCAAGAAAAAAAAAAGAAAGCAAGAAACAAAUAUAUAUAGAAUGAUCCCACUUAUGAACCAUAUAUAUGGAGCAAAAAAAUACAUAGACAGUCCUGGAAGAUACAUGCCAAAUAACGGUGGUUCAUCAUUUCACUGUAGAAGGAAAGGUGAUUUGGUUCUCUCUUUUGAGUAUUUUCCAAAAGAAACAACUAUGCUCACAGAGAAUUGUUACUUUAAUAAUGAAUACAUAAAUAUUUGUUGAACAAGUAAAUUCCGGUAGACUAUUUUCCUAUUACAUGUUAGGUUGGCCCAUUUCUAGCGACUCCGAAAUGGAAUGCACAUUCAUUCAUUCUCUCCCCAUUUCUUCCUCCCCUUUCAAGUUCCUGUACCUCUUUCUUUCCUUUUUUCCAGUAAAUAUUUAUCAUGUGCCCAUUGUCUGCCAGCAAUGUGCUAGAAGCAGCAAGUACAACGGAGCUUACAGACUUCAUCCUUCUCAUAUAAAAGGGAUGAGUUUAAAAAGAAAAUCACCACUGUUAUAAUGCAAAAUGGUAAGGAUACAUAGUCUAAUAAAACUAAUCGAUGUAUUUUAUGAGACCAGAAAAGUUUUCUCUGAGAAGCUGCUGCUUGAGUUGUCAAUAGGUUUGACUAGACAGAGAGUAUUUCUGAGAAAUUAAGUUGGUAUCCAAGGGUCCUGUGAUGAAAAAGGGUAGGUAGGAAAAACUGAAGCAAAGCCAGAUUUGCUGGAAGAGCAAGGAAGUAGGAGCCGUGAGAUGAAAUUGAAAAGACUGGUAAAGUGACAAAAAUGGAAGAACCAUACUGGCCGUCUUGGAAAUCUUUUUAUCUUAAAUGCAAAGUGAAUACCCUGGCAUGCUCAGCAAAGGAGGUGGCAUGCUCAGAAUGGCAUCUUAGAAAGACUUCUCAUAGGAAGGAGGCCAGGAGGAUUCAGGAGCGGUCUCCAUGGCAAGAGGUAAAAUCCUGGUCUAGGCAGGAUGAUAAUCCUGGAAACAGUAAAUGAAAGGGUCUGAGGACCGUGGGGCAGUGAAGGAGGAGUCCUCAAGGAACGUGCAUAGGCUUCUGCCUUGUGGCCAAGGAUGGACAUGGGUGCUGGUUCGCCCAGAUGGAUGUCUUAGGAAAGGACCAGGCUAGAGUGGAAAAAUUGUGCGAAUAGGUUGUUUGGUUGUUGAAAGUUUUUUGAGAUGCUCAAAAGAGAUGCUAAUUUGGUGUGGGCUAGACAGACCUGGAGCUCAGCUACGUAAGAGAUGAAUCAUCCACAGAGUGCUGACUGGAAGCCUUGGGUAUGGAUGAGUUAACAGGAGAAAAGGGUCUAGAGCCAGGCCUGAGGAAUUUCAGCAUGGAGUGGCGAGCCUGCCAUGCCGCUGCCAGAGGAAGUAACAGAAAACCCAGGAAAGGGACGGGAGAAGAAAGCAAUCAAUAAUCUCAACCAUAAGAGGAAGAUUAAAAUACUGAAGCAGUAGAACCGGAGUUGGAUUAGAGUGGGCCGAGGAAUGGAUGGGAGAGGAGAAAGGGGACACGAUGAGCUCAGAUGAGCAGGGCAGGGAAGAGAGACACAGGCCAAGUUUACAUGGGAUGGGAGCUCUCUUGAGAGGGAGAAGUUUCAUAAACAAGAAAGAGAAGAAGCAUGGGAGAAUGUGACUGGGGGGAGAGGUGAACGUACCUCAGGUACCUCCUACUCCCUCCAGACAAGUUCCAGAUCUGGACUUGGCAGAAGACAAUAUAAUCCUCUGGUGCAGUUGCAAAGUGCACUCCAGCAACAGCUCCACAGGUUCAUGCCCAGUACUGCAAUGCUGUUAACAGCUUCUUUCUCUUUAUUUUUUUAAGAGAAAAAGUAACUAGUGAUAGUUAUUGGUAAUAGGUAAAUACAAAGUUUUAGAAAAGUCUAGCUCUAUGGGAU
rnacentral:lncRNA from 1 species